CCCAAAUAGCUACACCUAGGGAGAGAGGGCUCGAACCCCAUCUAAGAAUCCAAAACUCCUCGUAUGUCCUAU
rnacentral:tRNA from 1 species